UUAUUGGCUAUGAAUAAUUAUUGUAACUAGCAGCAAGCAAGUUGAUGUCAGGCUCUGUCUUGAUGUAUUCACUCCUUGAAAUUAUCUGCCGGACAGAUUCCCAUUACAGGGAAUGAAUGAUGUCAGUCUGCCAGGAGAACAGGGGUCAGAAGAUGAGGAGAGCAUGUCAUCCCUGAACAUCUGUACCUCAACAUCACAAGUCCAAAAUCAGGGAGUGUCUCCAACAGAUGUCAGUAUGCCAGGACAACAGGGGUCAGAAGAUGAGGUCAGCAUGUCAUCCCUGCAAGAAUGUACCUCCAC